rfam:Caminicella sporogenes DSM 14501 genome assembly, contig: EJ28DRAFT_scaffold00024.24
AGAAGUUAAGCCCUUCAGCGCCGAUGGUACUUGGUGGGAGACCGCCUGGGAGAGUAGGUCGUUGCCGGUU